UUUGAGAUAAUUGAAAACAUUGUUAGUUAUAAGAAGAAAGACAAUAAUUAAAUCUUAUUACUAAUUUUAGAUGUUUUUACCAUGUAAAAAUAAACAGCUUAACAACAGCCAGAAACCACUAUUUAGAUCUGAACUGAAUUCAAGCCACUUCAGAUUUUGGGCACCAUCUCAUUGAUAUUGGGAGGCUGAUGAGUGAGGAUUUUUAGAUAGCUAAGAAGAGAUAGAAGGUAGCUGACUGAAAAAUAAAUACUAAAAUUGCUUCAAGAUGACCAAAGAAGAAAUCGGUCAGCUAUGAUAUGAUCAGCUUAUUUCUGAAAACAACCCUCAGCUAUAAGUUGCUUUCACCCCUAACCUUUAGAGGAGAAAAAACAUGGAAAACAAGUCCGCCCAACAAAACCUUAUCCCAUGACAUCAAUCCCUUUAUUCUUCUCUACAACAGUCAUUUCUCCAUUUAAAAGUUUGAGAAUCAAAGCAACAGCUGAUAUCAAAGGUGGGAUAAUGUGAUCAGCUAUCUUUUCCCAGACCAAUUCCCCAUCAAGCAAAUAAAAUUUGAAUUUAUGUAAAACAGUUCAGCAGUUCCAUAAUCAUUCACAAAUAUCCCACAAACAAAGGAACAGCUCCCACACCCCAAAUUUGUCAAAUAGUUCAAUUUUGGAUGUUUCUGAGUAGAAACCCCAAAUCAUUUUGAGCCCAAAGCCAGUCCUGAAUCCUGAAUUUGCCAAACUGGAAUUCUAAACCACACUGAGAUAAAAUAAUUCCCUAAUCCUGAAUUUCUCAAGCAAUCCCUCUCAACACAACAAAUUCUUUUUUGGAUGUUUUCUCACUUUAAGAUAUGGAUUAUCUGGAAUUCAUCAUUACGUCUCUUAUUUUGACUCCAAAACCCAUCAUAAGGGGCACAAGACAGAAGCAGAAGUUUCCAAGCUUGACGCAAAAGAUUAGGAAAAAAACAUGGGUAUAUUACCAGACAAGGUUGGGGAAAAUUUAUCACCUUAAAUUUUCUGGGGAAGAAUUUCUCAUGGAAGUAUUUUCUGCCCAUGGAAAACAAUAAGACACUUAGGAUUCAUACAAAAGAAACAAAAAGGACAAUCAUAAAAUAAUUAAUAGAAAAAGGAAGUGAUGAAAUGAGAAUGAAGCAGACCUGGUUGAAGCAGCGGCUGCAUUUGGGACUUGGAUUUCAUCAAAAGAGUUCAGAAGUAGAAGAGUUAGAAGUGGGAUAUGUCUACAUAGAGCGUGUGUAGCAGUGAUCCUAAC
rnacentral:lncRNA from 1 species